UACGAAGGGUGCAAGCGUUACUCGGAAUUACUGGGCGUAAAGCGUGCGUAGGCGGUUUGUUAAGUCCGUUGUGAAAGCCCUGGGCUCAACCUGGGAAUUGCAGUGGAUACUGGCGAGCUAGAGUGCGGUAGAGGAUGGUGGAAUUCCCGGUGUAGCGGUGAAAUGCGUAGAGAUCGGGAGGAACACCCGUGGCGAAGGCGGCCAUCUGGACCAGCACUGACGCUGAGGAACGAAAGCGUGGGGAGCAAACAGG
rnacentral:rRNA from 1 species